rnacentral:rRNA from 1 species
GCGUGAGUGAAGAAGGCCUUAGGGUUGUAAAACUCUUUCGCUAGGGAAGAUAAUGACGGUACCUAGUAAAGAAGCCCCGGCUAACUCCGUGCCAGCAGCCGCGGUAAUACGGAGGGGGCUAGCGUUGUUCGGAAUUACUGGGCGUAAAGCGUACGUAGGCGGACCAGCAAGUUGGGGGUGAAAUCCCGGGGCUUAACCCCGGAACUGCCUCCAAAACUAUUGGUCUAGAAUCCUGGAGAGGUGAGUGGAAUUCCUAGUGUAGAGGUGAAAUUCGU